CCUACGGGAGGCAGCAGUGAGGAAUAUUGGUCAAUGGACGAGAGUCUGAACCAGCCAAGUAGCGUGAAGGAUGACUGCCCUAUGGGUUGUAAACUUCUUUUAUAAAGGAAUAAAACGAGGCACGUGUGCCUUUUUGCAUGUACUUUAUGAAUAAGGAUCGGCUAACUCCGUGCCAGCAGCCGCGGUAAUACGGAGGAUCCGAGCGUUAUCCGGAUUUAUUGGGUUUAAAGGGUGCGUAGAUGGGUUGUUAAGUCAGUUGUGAAAGGUUGCGGCUCAACCGUAAAAUUGCAAUUGAUACUGGCAGUCUUGAGUACAGUUGAGGUAGGCGGAAUUCGUGGUGUAGCGGUGAAAUGCUUAGAUAUAACGAAGAACCCCGAUUGCGAAGGCAGCUUACUAAACUGUGACUGACAUUGAUGCUCGAAAGUGUGGGUAUCAAACAGGAUUAGAUACCCCUGUAGUC
rnacentral:rRNA from 1 species